UCUCCGUUGGUGAACCAGCGGAGGGAUCAUUACAGGACUCGCAAGACUCCUACAACCCUGUGAACUUAACUAUAAGCACGUUGCUUCGGCGGGUGUCUCGGAGGGGGUUCUCCCUCCCCGAGACGCUAAACCCGCCGGCAGCCUACUAUACUCUGUCUCUUUGCCUUGGCAUCUCGAGUACAAUCAAACAAGUUAAAACUUUCAACAACGGAUCUCUUGGUUCUG
rnacentral:misc_RNA from 1 species